rnacentral:rRNA from 1 species
GAUGAACGCUAGCGGCAGGCUUAAUACAUGCAAGUCGAACGGCAGCGGGUCCAGCAAUGGAUGCCGGCGAGUGGCGCACGGGUGCGUAACACGUAUGCAACCUACCUUUAACCGGGACAUAACCUCGAGAAAUCGUGGCUAAUAUUCCAUAAUAUCUUUGAAUCGCAUGGUUUGAAGAUCAAAAUUCCGAUGGUUUUAGAUGGGCAUGCGCGACAUUAGCUAGUUGGUGAGGUAAUGGCUCACCAAGGCUACGAUGUUUAGGGGGUCUGAGAGGAUGAUCCCCCACACUGGUACUGAGACACGGACAGACUCCUACGGGAGGCAGCAGGAAGGAAUAUUGGGCAAUGGGCGCAAGCCUGACCCAGCCAUGCCGCGUGCAGGAUGACAGCCCUACGGGUUGUAAACUGCUUUUAUACGGGAAAAAACCCUCUGACGUGUCAGAGGCUGAUGGUACCGUAAGAAUAAGCAUCGGCUAACUCCGUGCCAGCCGCCGCCGUAAUAC